AGACUGUAAAAAAUAUGGACAAAGCGUCUGUGACGUCACCCAUAGAUUUCUGAAGAACUCAAAUGAAGCCGUUUAUGGGGGGUAUGGGCGGCGCCAUCUUGGGAAACGUUGGGAAAUCCUAACCACGCCCACAUUCUGGCCAAUCCAAUCAAAUGGGUGAAAGGGCGGGCUUUGUGCGAAACUGAGCCGAACAGGUGUUCUGUUCUGCUCGGCUUGUUCAGCUAAGCAGCUAAUACGUUACGAGACUGGCAAGCUUGGCUACUGCUACGUUUACUGCGAAGCCACCGAAGUCGAAGACUGAGUCUAACCCACCUGAAUUUGCUGUACCUAAUGUGUGGAUCAUUGAAGACUGCUAUGUUUGCUGUGGAGAGGAGGUGGCAAGGAGGUCCCUGAGCUCUAACCUGGGACUAAAUGCAGGUGAAAUGGCUUGACUGGGGUCGACUGAGGUGGCAUAGCAUCCUUCUCCUUUUUGCCUAGUCCCUGAAGAGUGGAUUUUGCCGCAGAGAUGAAGCAGAACCUGUGUGAUCUCCAUCCCCCCCACAUGACCAUUAUCAUAUCUGCGUCAUCGAUGGGGAUCCACAAACCCCAAGAAGAUCGAGUAUGGGUGAACAGCAGCUUUGUGUUGGGUCUCAUGCCCCAUCCACACAACUUUGCAUUGUUUCUUAGAGACCAGGUUAAUCUGUCUGGGGCAAUGAAUAUUUUUAAAAUAUUGUUGAAUGUCUGUAUCCAGCCGAAUUCAGUAGGCAACCUGCAUUUUGAUGGCACUGAACUUGCACUUACAAAUGGUUAUGGAACUUUUCUAAGAGAUGCUGUUACUGAUACUGAUGGACUGUUACACCCUUUCCUUUACUUAUGUCAAAACCAAUGUCUGUUCAUUAACAAAAUUACUGUUGAUGGCACUGAAGUUGAAAAUAAAAACACAAAUGUUUAUGGGACUUUUCUGGUCAACUGUGACCUACAUUUAACUUGUGUCAAACCAGUUUUGUCUAUGCUGUCAAACAUUUACGAUUAAAUUGCAGUGGGAGCAAAAACAAUCAGUAGGUUGAAUUAAAGACCCAGAUGCGGAA